GACGAACGCUGGCGGCGUGCUUAACACAUGCAAGUCGAACGGAAAGGCCCUGCUUUUGUGGGGUGCUCGAGUGGCGAACGGGUGAGUAACACGUGAGUAACCUGCCCUUGACUUUGGGAUAACUUCAGGAAACUGGGGCUAAUACCGGAUAGGAGCUCCUGCUGCAUGGUGGGGGUUGGAAAGUUUCGGCGGUUGGGGAUGGACUCGCGGCUUAUCAGCUUGUUGGUGGGGUAGUGGCUUACCAAGGCUUUGACGGGUAGCCGGCCUGAGAGGGUGACCGGCCACAUUGGGACUGAGAUACGGCCCAGACUCCUACGGGAGGCAGCAGUGGGGAAUACUGCACAAUGGGCGGAAGUCUGAUGCAGCAACGCCGCGUGCGGGAUGACGGCCUUCGGGUUGUAAACCGCUUUCGCCUGUGACGAAGCGUGAGUGACGGUAAUGGGUAAAGAAGCACCGGCUAACUACGUG
rnacentral:rRNA from 1 species